UACGAAGGGGGCUAGCGUUGCUCGGAUUGACUGGGCGUAAAGGGCGCGUAGGCGGUUUGCACAGGCAGACGUGAAAUUCCUGGGCUCAACCUGGGGGCUGCGUUUGAUACGUGUAGACUUGAGUGCGGAAGAGGGUCGUGGAAUUCCCAGUGUAGAGGUGAAAUUCGUAGAUAUUGGGAAGAACACCGGUGGCGAAGGCGGCGACCUGGUCCGAUACUGACGCUGAGGCGCGAAAGCGUGGGGAGCAAACAGG
rnacentral:rRNA from 1 species